GCCCGCCGGUCCACGCCGUGCACCGCUCCGAGGGCCAGCGCCACCCGCUCCGCAGCCGGCACCAUGCGCGAGAUCGUGCACAUCCAGGCGGGCCAGUGCGGCAACCAGAUCGGCGCCAAGUUUUGGGAGGUCAUCAGCGAUGAGCAUGGGAUCGACCCUACAGGCAGUUACCAUGGAGACAGUGACUUGCAGCUGGAGAGAAUCAACGUGUACUACAAUGAGGCUGCUGGUAACAAAUAUGUACCUCGGGCCAUCCUGGUGGAUCUGGAGCCUGGCACCAUGGACUCCGUCAGGUCUGGACCCUUCGGCCAGAUCUUCAGGCCAGACAACUUCGUGUUUGGUAAAAGAAGAGUAUUCAAAAGAGAAGAAUCUGCCAGUCUAAGACCAGUCCUACCUUCUCUUCCAUAGUCAAAAUGACAGAUUUUGAAAUUCCUUGUUUUAGUGUCUAAUGUUCACUUUCCCUCUGGCAGGCCAGAGUGGAGCCGGGAAUAACUGGGCCAAGGGCCACUACACAGAGGGAGCCGAGCUGGUCGACUCGGUCCUGGAUGUGGUGAGGAAGGAGUCAGAGAGCUGUGACUGUCUCCAGGGCUUCCAGCUGACCCACUCUCUGGGGGGCGGCACGGGGUCCGGGAUGGGCACCCUGCUCAUCAGCAAGAUCCGGGAAGAGUACCCAGACCGCAUCAUGAACACCUUCAGCGUCAUGCCCUCACCCAAGGUGUCAGACACGGUGGUGGAGCCCUACAACGCCACCCUCUCUGUCCACCAGCUGGUGGAAAACACCGAUGAAACGUACUCCAUUGACAACGAGGCCCUGU
rnacentral:sRNA from 1 species